CUACACAUGCAAGUCGAACGAGAAAGUUCCUUCGGGAGCAAUUAAAGUGGCGCACGGGUGAGUAACGCGUAGACAAUCUGCCCUUCAGUCUGGGACAACUUUUCGAAAGGAGAGCUAAUACCGGAUAACAAUGCAUGACACAAGUUGUAUAUUUGAAAGCUUUAUGUGCUGAAGGAGGGGUCUGCGUCCCAUUAGCUAGUUGGUAAGGUAAAGGCUUACCAAGGCAACGAUGGGUAGCGGGUUUGAGAGGACGAUCCGCCACACUGGAACUGAGACACGGUCCAGACUCCUACGGGAGGCAGCAGUGGGGAAUAUUGCACAAUGGAGGAAACUCUGAUGCAGCAAUGUCGCGUGAGUGAAGAAGGCCCUUGGGUCGUAAAGCUCUUUUAUGGGGGAAGAUGAUGACGGUACCCCAAGAAUAAGCACCGGCUAACUAUGUGCCAGCAGCCGCGGUAAUACAUAGGGUGCGAGCGUUGUUCGGAAUUACUGGGCGUAAAGGGCGCGCAGGCGGAAUAGUAAGUCGGAGGUGAAAGCCCGGGGCUCAACCCCGGAGGGUCUUUCGAAACUACUAAUCUAGAGAGGGUCAGGGGCCGGCAGAAUUCCUGGUGUAGAGGUGAAAUUCGUAGAUAUCAGGAGGAAUACCGGUGGCGAAGGCGGCCGGCUGGGGCCACUCUGACGCUGAGGCGCGAAAGCGUGGGGAGCAAACAGGAUUAGAUACCCUGGUAGUCCACGCCGUAAACGAUGAGCACUGGACGUCCGGAGGGUUCGACCCUUCUGGGUGUCUCAGCUAACGCAUUAAGUGCUCCGCCUGGGGAGUACGGUCGCAAGACUAAACUCAAAGGAAUUGACGGGGGCCCGCACAAGCGGUGGAACAUGUGGUUUAAUUCGAUGCAACGCGAAGAACCUUACCUGGUCUGACAUCUCGGACGCUCAGAGAUGAGUUUCCUCUUCGGA
rnacentral:rRNA from 1 species